rnacentral:SRP_RNA from 1 species
GCUGGGCAUGGUGGCACGUGCCUAUAAUCUCAGUCACCUGGGAGGCUGAGGUUGGAGGACCUGUCUCUUGAGGCCAGGAGUUUUCAAUGAGCUAUGCCAAUCUGGUGUCCUCACUAAGUUUAGCACUAAUAUCAUAAGCCCUAGAGUGGGAGGCGGAGAGGAGCAGAUUGCCUAAGGAGGGGCAAACCAACACAAAUUUGAAAUGAAGCAAGUCAGAGUUCCUGGGGUUAUCAGCAAUGAGAUUAGACCUAUGAACAGCUCUUACACUUGCAGCCUGACUGAGAGAGGGAGACCCAGU